GCCCGCUCGCCGAGUGCACUGCGGCUCGCCGAGGCCAACAGCGUUUGGCGCGUCGUGGGCGCCACAGUCUGUGUGAGCAUGCAGAGUCAACUGCGCUCCACGUUCAGUAGGCUGAACGCUGUGGGCAUGCCCCGCUUCGCCGUAGCUUUCGCAGUGCAAGACAUUGAAGGAGCGGGAGCACCGUGACGGCGAUCAAAGAAAACGCGGGGAUGCGCUCCUUCCGGACUUGCCUUCUUCGCUUCCCUUCCUGCUCGCUCAAACAACCGCCGUGGCCGAAGAGGCGGCGCGUCGGCAAACACCUACACAUAUACGCCCUUAAUAAGGAGCAGUGGGAUCCAGCUCGGAUCCAGGAAAGCAACUAGCCCUCAUCCGGCGGGCAGCAAAGGCCAGCGGAGCCCUGGACUCAGGGCCCCGACCACAUCGACUCCGACUUUUUUCUGCAAAUAAAGUUUAAUGAAUGAAUGAAUGAAUGAAUGAAUGAAUGAAUGAAUGAAUGAAUGAACCAUCUAUGCCGUCGAUACCGUGACAUCGCAACGACGGCGCCGAUGCUGGAAACGCGUCUACA